AGUGGGUGGGUCUGGCAGGAGAAAAAUGAACUUUCAUAUUACACUUCCGAGAAACAAAACCCCAGCAUACUAUUAAAAAAGCAAUUAAGCAACCCAAAAGGAAAAAAAAAAAAAAAAAAAACCCUUUAGAAGAAGGUCUAUUGUACUGAUCCAUUAACCUGUUCCUCUCUUUUUUUGGGGGGGGGGGGGGUGGAGGGUGGGGAGGGAGGGGGGUUGGUAAGGAAGGAUUCAGAUGGGAUAAGGUACAAAUCAAUUUACAAAGUUUACAACUCUCUCUGGGCAAAGGAAAUCCAGAGCUGCUUCAAUGUUCUACUGGGUCCCCUUUUCCCCCCUUUUUAAAGAGAAAGAGUCUUGAUGACACUUCCAAGCACAUUCAAAGGUUCAGUCAGUCCUUUUCCUGGGGUGGUUUUUUUCCACCUUGGCCAGCAAAGUUACACUCUCACUGCUUGCCCCAAAACCCGCCUGCAGCCCAGGGCUGGGGCACCACGCCUCACACUCCAGCGCCCCGAACCCCCAGCUGAGAGGGAGACAGCGGUCCCUCGAGGCCAGCAGCCACUGGCACUGUCCACGCGGAGGGAUGCGAGGGUGCGAGGAGCGGCUCCCAACCCCGCACCCCGAAUCCUCGACCCAACUUUGGCCCGAGAGGCAAGAGACAGACUGGGAGAAAGUUAGGGGUGGGGUAGAGGGUGGAGGGAAAGAAAGUUUAAGGAGGGAAGGCUUGGUGGGAUAGCUUCCCCCCCACCCCCCACCCACCCCGAGCCUGCAAGGGGGAAGGAUCCGGGAGACGGAGGAAGGCGCGAGGGAGGACGGGGUUAUCCGCGGGGCAGCGAGGGGCGCCCGGGGCGACCUCCCCGCGCGGCUGGGGGGGCGCCCGGGGGGCUCGGCGCGCGGGGCAGCCCCGGGGCCGCCCCGGAGCGGAGCCGGUUCUCUUACCUGCCGCCCGCUUGGGUGCCUGCUGUUUCCUCCUUGGCAUCGCUCUACUUCGCUCCAGUCCCACUUCUGGCGGCCCAGCCCCGAGCCGCGCGCGGGGGCCCGCUGCUCUCUCGCCUCUCCGGGGCUCCUCCGCCUCCUGCCCGGCGGCUCCUGGGGCGUCACUCGGCCUCAGUCCCCCCGGCGAUCCCCCCUGCAACUCCUCCACCACGGGCCCGAGGAGACCCCCCUCUCCGGGCGGCGGACACGGGCGGCUCGCGCCGGCUGCUCGCAAGUAGAGAUAACACCUCUUGGAGUUUGUUUCCCAUGAUCAACCAUGAUGUUUUUGUACUAUUGACCCUUGCCCCAGCUUACCGGGUAGACCCUGACUGGUUAAAGCCAAUAAUCUUAUCCCAUCAUAUGCCAUGAUUUGGUCCAUACGACAGAAACCCAGUCAGAACCUGCAGAGAAGUUUUCCAGGACUUCUAUCAUCUGCAUAGCGUGAAGAUACAAAGAUAUGAACAGCCUGUUUACUACUAAAGUGGAGGACCAUGGAACUGCCAAUGGGAACCCAUCUGAGGCCUGAGGAAGUAGCUGAUUCUGUGCAAGGCAGAAAGGAAAUGUGAAAGGAAACAAAGCUGGUCCUUGGUAACACUGGAGCAAACUGAACCUGAAGCUAGUCUUGUCCCCAGCCUUUUCAGUGAUGUAAGUUUAUACACGACCUUCUUCAAACCAGUUUGAGUUGGAUUUCCUGUCAUUUUUCAAUGGAAAGGCUUUUAACUCAAAUUUUGGUUUUGUCAAAUUGAUGAUGACACGUUAAUGCCUUUUCAAUGAGUUAUGCUGGGAGAAUGGGGUCAUGCUGUGGGUUUCUCCUUCACUAUUUUGUUUGGUGUGUUGUUUUCAAAUGGAUACCCUACCUUCUUAAAUCAUUUUCCUACUAGUCUCCUUGUCCACACUUUACAACACGCAUCAAGUACCACCUUCCCUAGGAAUUAAUUACUGAGCAAGACUUAUAAACACUGGUAUUUUAGCUCUGGUGAGGCUGCCCCAAGUAGUAGUUAAGAACAUGUGUUACACAACACAGGCAUGAUUUUGAACCCUGGCUCUAUAAUUCACUAGCUAUGUGACUUCGGACAAUUUACCUAAACUCCCUAAAUUCCCCUUUACCCAACCCUUAAAAAUACUGUUAAUAAUAGCAUCUUGGCUUAGACAACUUUUGUGAAGAUAGAAUGAAAUAAUUCAUGUACAACAUUUAUCAUGAUGCUUGACACAGAAUAAGUGCUCAAUAAAUGUUGCUGCUGUGAUUAUUAGCGUUAUUAU
rnacentral:lncRNA from 1 species